rnacentral:rRNA from 1 species
GACGAACGCUGGCGGCGUGCCUAAUACAUGCAAGUAGAACGCUGAAGAGAGGAGCUUGCUCUUCUUGGAUGAGUUGCGAACGGGUGAGUAACGCGUAGGUAACCUGCCUUGUAGCGGGGGAUAACUAUUGGAAACGAUAGCUAAUACCGCAUAACAAUGGAUGACACAUGUCAUUUAUUUGAAAGGGGCAAUUGCUCCACUACAAGAUGGACCUGCGUUGUAUUAGCUAGUAGGUGAGGUAAUGGCUCACCUAGGCGACGAUACAUAGCCGACCUGAGAGGGUGAUCGGCCACACUGGGACUGAGACACGGCCCAGACUCCUACGGGAGGCAGCAGUAGGGAAACUUCGGCAAUGGGGGCAACCCUGACCGAGCAACGCCGCGUGAGUGAAGAAGGUUUUCGGAUCGUAAAGAUCUGUUGUAAGUCAAGAACGGGUGUGAGAGUGGAAAGUUCACACUGUGACGGUAGCUUACCAGAAAGGGACGGCUAACUACGUG